rnacentral:rRNA from 1 species
CCUACGGGGGGCUGCAGUGAGGAAUAUUGGUCAAUGGACGGAAGUCUGAACCAGCCAUGCCGCGUGCAGGAAGACGGCUCUAUGAGUUGUAAACUGCUUUUGUACAAGGGUAAACCUGAAUACGUGUAUUCAGCUGAAAGUACUGUACGAAUAAGGAUCGGCUAACUCCGUGCCAGCAGCCGCGGUAAUACGGAGGAUCCAAGCGUUAUCCGGAUUUAUUGGGUUUAAAGGGUGCGUAGGCGGAUUGAUAAGUUAGAGGUGAAAUGUCCGGGCUUAACUCGGGAACUGCCUCUAAUACUGUUGUUCUAGAGAGUAGAUGCGGUAGGCGGAAUGUAUGGUGUAGCGGUGAAAUGCUUAGAGAUCAUACAGAACACCGAUUGCGAAGGCAGCUUACCAAUCUAUAUCUGACGUUGAGGCACGAAAGCGUGGCGAGCAAACAGGAUUAGAUACCCCGGUAGUC